CCUACGGGGGGCAGCAGUAGGGAAUCUUCGGCAAUGGACGAAAGUCUGACCGAGCAACGCCGCGUGAGUGAAAAAGGUUUUCGGAUCGUAAAACUCUGUUGUUAGAGAAGAACAAGGAUGAGAAGAGAAUGUUCAUCCCUUGACGGUAUCUAACCAGAAAGCCACGGCUAACUACGUGCCAGCAGCCGCGGUAAUACGUAGGUGGCAAGCGUUGUCCGGAUUUAUUGGGCGUAAAGCGAGCGCAGGCGGUUCUUUAAGUCUGAUGUGAAAGCCCCCGGCUCAACCGGGGAGGGGCAUUGGGAACU
rnacentral:rRNA from 1 species